UGGGGAAUAUUGGACAAUGGGGGAAACCCUGAUCCAGCGAUGCCGCGUGUGUGAAGAAGGCCUGCGGGUUGUAAAGCACUUUCAGUUGGGAAGAUAGUUUGUAGGGGAAUAUCCUGCAGAUGAGACGUUACUAACAAAAGAAGCACCGGCUAACUACGUGCCAGCAGCCGCGGUAAUACGUAGGGACCAAGCGUUGUUCGGAUUUACUGGGCGUAAAGGGCGCGUAGGCGGCUUGACAAGUCACUUGUGAAAUCUCUGGGCUUAACCCAGAACGGCCAAGUGAAACUGUCAUGCUAGAGUGCAGAAGGGGCAAUCGGAAUUCUUGGUGUAGCGGUGAAAUGCGUAGAUAUCAAGAGGAACACCUGAGGUGAAGACGGGUUGCUGGGCUGACACUGACGCUGAGGCGCGAAAGCCAGGGGAGCAAACGGGAUUAGAUACCCAUGUAGUCCCUGAGCGGGCUGGCAAGGCGCAU
rnacentral:rRNA from 1 species